AGAUAUUUGCACAGUGUAUGGAUAAACUCAUUACUUGCUAAGGACUGACCCUGACCAGCUUAGCAAGCCUCCACCUAUUAUUUCCAAAGGGAGUCACCCCUCACUGAAGCCAUGACGAGCUUCUUUUCCAUUGCAUUCCAAGCUCCUAACAGCGACUUGGAAACAAUCUGCCCAUUGGAAUCUUCUUUUAGUCCAAAACAACAAAGUUUGAAAUAUUUGGAUAUAGUGUCAACUCUGACUUACUACAAUUGCAAACCAUCAGCAAGUUUCCAGAGAGGUUGCAAUGCAAGGUGCUAAUUUGCAGAUGUUAUAGCAAAGAUCUUAUUACUAAACCA